rnacentral:rRNA from 1 species
AAUCAACGCUGGCGGCGUGCCUCAGACAUGCAAGUCGAACGCUGCUGUUCGCUUUCGGGUGGACAGUGGAGUGGCGCACGGGUGAGUAACACGUAGGUAAUCUACCUUUGGGUGGGGAAUAACAGCCGGAAACGGCUGCUAAUACCGCAUAAUGCAGCGGCACCACAUGGUGACAGUUGUUAAAGCGGGGAUCGUAAGACCUCGCGCCUGAAGAGGAGCCUGCGGCAGAUUAGGUAGUUGGUGGGGUAAUGGCUCACCAAGCCUGCGAUCUGUAACCGGCCUGAGAGGGCGGUCGGUCACACUGACACUGACAUACGGGUCAGACUCCUACGGGAGGCAGCAGUCGGGAAUUUUGGGCAAUGGGCGCAAGCCUGACCCAGCAACGCCGCGUGAAGGAUGAAGUUUCUCGGAAUGUAAACUUCAUAAGAAUAGGGAAGAAUAAGUA